UUGAAAGGGAAACGAUUGAAGCCAGUCGUACCUAUGGGUAAUCAGCCUUUUGGGUGUGAUUUUGUGGAGCGUGAGGAGUUAAACGCCUUCAUGCCUGCAUAUUUCGUGCACUUUGGGUGUACUUGCCCGUGUGUAAGUUAACAUCAAUUUUGGUGGUCAUAAAAUGGCCGGAGGAAUGUAGCUUCGAUUUCGGUUGAAGUGUUAUAGCCUUUGGUAGAUGUGGUGAUGGAGACUGAGGAUUGCAACGAAUACCCUUCGGGCUAUCCGUCUGACCUCUGAAAGUUGCUUAGGUGCCGAAAGCGUGCUUACGGUCAUUUAACGUGACGGUCAAAAGGUUAGAACGUGAUUACAUUUCGUUAAGGAUGUUGACGUUA
rnacentral:rRNA from 1 species